GUCCUGCUGCGGCUCACGUCGAGGGCGACUAAUCCUUGCGACCUUAAUUCUCUCAUAGGGAGCUGUCCCUGUUCGGGCCCGAGGGCCUGGGCACACGGCGCCCACCUGGUAAGCCAGGUCGAGAGGAUUGAAAGCUCCUCACGGUUCUUGUGGCGCCGCC
rnacentral:other from 1 species